AUGGUGGUAACGGGUAACGGGGUGUUAGGGCACGACACCGGAGAGGGAGCCUGAGAAACGGCUACCACAUCCAAGGAUGGCAGCAGGCGCGCAAAUUACCCAAUCCCGACACGGGGAGGUAGUGACAAUAAAUAACAAUACGGGGUUCUUUCGGAUCUCGUAAUUGGAAUGAGUACAAUUUAAAUCUCUUAACGAGGAACAAUUGGAGGGCAAGUCUGGUGCCAGCAGCCGCGGUAAUUCCAGCUCCAAUAGCGUAUAUUAAAGUUGUUGCAGUUAAAAAGCUCGUAGUUGAAUUUCGGGAUCAAUAUGUUGGUCGUGCCUUGGUACGUACUGGCAUUAUCGAUUCCUACCUUCUGAAGAACCUCGAUGUCAUUAAUUUGGUGUCUUGGGGAAUCAGGACUGUUACUUUGAAAAAAUUAGAGUGUUUAAAGCAGGCUCGCGCUUGAAUACAUUAGCAUGGAAUAAUGAAAUAGGACGUUUGAUUCUAUUUUGUUGGUUUCUAGGAUCGACGUAAUGAUUAAUAGGGAUAGUUGGGGGCAUUAGUAUUCAAUUGUCAGAGGUGAAAUUCUUGGAUUUAUUGAAGACUAACUACUGCGAAAGCAUUUGCCAAGGAUGUUUUCAUUAAUCAAGAACGAAAGUUAGGGGAUCGAAGACGAUCAGAUACCGUCGUAGUCUUAACCAUAAACUAUGCCGA
rnacentral:rRNA from 1 species